CAAAAGGGAAUAAGAAAACAGAGCUCAAUUUCACAUGUUUGCGUGUUUCUUGAGUGGAAAAUUAGUACUGCAGUUUUGUAGCCUUCUCAGGGUCCAUGCUCCUUUCUUCAGCUUGGAAGGACAUUGUUGCAUUUGGAGAACGGUAGAGAAUAACUGCGCAAACCUCAGUAAAUUUAUGAUCAUGGAUCCAACAGGCUGCAGGUUGGGACUGGUCUUGCGUAAAUACAGUAAGCAAAGUAAAGGGCAAUGAACCAAGGGUCUAUUUUACACCAAUCCAUGCACCUUGGCCACUUUGCAAGAUUUGCUUAUAAUGAAUGAUGCAUAAUGCUCAUCGUGCUUACUUUCCAAUUUCCAUUAACUGAAGUACUAUUUAUGGUUCAUGUUAUUCAAAUGUUUUCAACAAUGAAUGGGAAAUGCUGAUGUAAUUGGCAAGAUGGAAAGGAGCACUGGGGACAAGGCAAGUAGAGUAUGAAGGAGGCAGUCAAUGAAGCAGUGAAAAUCAGCGCAUGACCAAAGCUAUCUGUACAUGCUUACAUUUGGGUAAAAUAAAACGUAUUUCUUGUCGGUGGCUUUCAGAAGGUGCUUGAAUUGUGAAUUAGUAUUCUCCGCAAAAAUGUGAUGCACCAUUGAUACGUUUCAUUGUAUGGGGUCCAUGCAAGAAACUUUUUAUCAUUAAGGUUAGUUAGAUAUUUCCAUCCCUGGUGACACAGGGGAAAGUCUAGCUACACCACAACCUUUGGGAAGUGGAAUUUCACCAGGACUGUGCCAAAGUGUGGUAAUUUCAACACAAUGCUGAUGUGGGACUAAGGGUACCUGUGGCAGGAUACAACCCAUCCCCAUGAACUGGAUCCCCCCUUACACAUACAGGAAGGUGGGAAUUCACUGCUGUACAAUAGAGUAUGAGUUUGGUGCCAGGCCUAAGAUAUUUUCCUUGGGUGGCUGAAAACUAUGCUGGCAUGGUGAAAUCCACCACUGCUUUCAUUCCCCAUGUCUGUCCAAUUAAGGCCUUUCACGAUAUGGAACGUGUUCCUUGUUGACCAAGGUCUUGAGCUGGAUCUAGAUUGUCAGGAAUCAAUGUACUGCUGUGUACUAGAUUGCUUUACCGGAGGUUCAAUAUGCGCCUCUCCCUUUAAGCUUUAUUGAAUGCUUUAAAGGGAGCCUAUCCCUUUGUAUGCUUGGAAUGAAUGAUGGUUUCGAGCUCCUAAAUCUCCUAGUCAUUCUCAUCAAACCAACCUCAGUACUUUCUGGUGGAGAAACCGAGUUUCUCCACAGGGCCCACUUCUUGUGGAUUUCAGGGCUAAACGUACUUUAGAUGUCAUUCAACUUCAGUUGAUUGGGUCUUUGAGUCGUUAUUAUAGAUUUGUCUGCCCUUGACAUUUAGGGACCAAGAUGACAGAGAUGGUGGAACCGGUUCGCCACUAAUCAGUCCAGCAGUCAAAGGCUAAUAUGAUAAAUUAACAGAAUAAGAAUAAGCCAUUUAGUUGCUUCAGGCUGCACAGACACCAAAUCGAUUAAUGGCUGAUUUAUUCUUGAAAUCAGCUCUGUAUUCCUACUUGCUCCCCAUUAUGCUUGACCCCCUCCUAUGGUCCAUAUAUCUGCCUUAAAUUCAUUCAAUAAUUCACCUUCACUGUUUCAGGGAUUGACGUGAGCUCUUGUAAUUGUUGCUCAGAUGAGAAAGGAUGCUGGUUAUUUUCUGUGUCCUGACAUUUCAUCAAAGGAUAGAAUCCUUUCAAGUAUGCUUUCCUGGCUUCUUCCCAGCCAUCCAAGACUUUGCAGACAUUUUGACCUAUACAGUGCUGGCAUUGAUAUUGCCAAAAAGAAUUAGUUUGUCUCCAGUGGAACUCGCGUUUGGAGUAGAUUUCCACUUUGGCUACUUGCACUGCUUCCAGGAUUUGGGACAUAUCUACUGUUGAUCAUAUGGUGCUGUUUCUAACCCACUGGGCUGAAGUCAGGUUCAGGUUGCUGUGUUCAGCUUGGGUUUAAUUCUACAUCUCUAGAGUGUGACACUGGAGGAGACUACAUAGGUUGCAAAGGGUGAGCCCAUGUGUUGGAGUAACUGGGAAAUAACAUAAAUCGGUAAAGACAAAGGUGAAGGAUCUGCAUUGGAGUAGCCAAAUCUGAAAGGGAUUUAGAUAUGAAUGAGGGAUGUGGUAGAAAAUGGGUUCAGAUGGUGGGGGUGCAGCAGGGUGCCAUGAAGGCAGGUUGCCAACACAGAGCAGUGAAGAAUGGCUUUGCCUCUUUAAAUAAGAGGUGAUUAUGUACAGCUUGUGUCAAGGAUCAGAGCUGUUAUUUCAUUGGGAAACAAGCAGAAGAAAAGUGAAUGUGACUUCAGAAGGUUAGAAAUAAAAAUAAACAGGUAGUUGUCAAGUGAAUCAUUUCCAAGCUACUUUGAAGACAAACAUUAGAAAAAAGAAAUGUCAAAAGUAAAAGGUUUUACUUUUAGAUUUUUUGUUAAUAAUCCAGUGAUGUCAUAAUAUUCUGACCAUCUACUUUAUGCUUUUGUUUUAAUCAGUGAUGAUUUAUUCUGGACUGAUAUUUAUAGAUUUUAUGUGGAAAAAUAUGACCUUGUUUGUUUUGUAUAUAAUUUCCAGGGUCUGUAAGUAAUAUGUUGCCUUCCUUUGUACAGAAAUGGACCGGGUCAUUGAAGAGGUCAAAUUUCUGAAAAAUGUUCAUUUUAGUGCAAAUAUUAUGCAUGUUACAAUUUGCUAAUAAACAUGUUUUGAUAAA